UACAACACGAAACUGUUCGAUAAUACAUAUGGACGUAUCGGCUUUGGCAAAUUCGCUUCUGUGAGCCCCAAAGUCGGCACUUUUUUCAUCCCUUUCGGCAGUGCUCUCUGUGCAAUCGAGUUGUAAAGACGUUCAACCGAGGAAAACGACCAAAACGGCGGUUUCGGAAUUAAUAUUUAUGGAGUAAUAUUAUAAUUGCUGUCAUAAUGUUUAGUUUUCAGAUUUAAAUGACAAUCAAGCUUUUACUACGAAUAAUAAUGAUACGAGAUUGUGGAAUACCAAAUAUCACAAGGACUUGCAGAUUAUUUCAUGGUCAAUAAUCCUACUUUACUGUGAGCAAACCAGACACAUUUAUAGGUCAAAUAGAAAGGGGUUGUGAAUUGUCACUUUGCAAUAGACACUAACAAACGGACAUUUUAAGAGAUCCAGAAAAUCAAAAGAUUUUACUUUCGUAUGCUUAUUUGUUCCACUCAAAAUAGAUAUGCACUUUAUAAUGUUAAGAAGCUGUUUUAACAGCAAUUCGACUCAAAAGAGCCACAUUGGUCACUCCCCUCCUAAAGUACUCACUUCGAUUAAAUAAAUUUAAAACGUAAAUAUAUCUGUAUUCAAACCUAACUCCCUGGAGAACAUACCAUAUACAUAUAAACAAACCAUGAGCUCUACAAAUUCUCCAACUGUCCCAAAGAUACAUCGAUCUCAAUAUAUUCAACAAUUUCAACGGCGAGUAUUCGGUAAAUUGUUAAAUGAUAAAGGGUUUAGCAGACAAAAUCGAAUGCAGUUGACCUUAAAUGAAAGAUUGGGGACAUGUACUAUUUACAAGUAUUGCCGGAGGCUACAAAAGUGGAAUUGUGUUACCAGAAAAUCGGGAAAUAUGACUGUUAGCACUCUUGGCAAAUCGAAGGGGCUAACGCCGAAACAUAGACUGACUUUCUGGAGAUUGGGCGUUAACUACAGCAUAAUGACAGAUUCAAUACAUACGAUAAUGUUAUUGUUUGCUGUUAUAAUGACUGUUUUGAUAUCGGAAAGCACUGUUCUAGCAUCGCAACGGGACUCAGUUAAACAAAAGAAUUCCAACAACCUAAGUAGUAAUAUACCUACGGGAAGCGGAGUUGAUACCAAUGGUAACUUUGAUAGCAUUAGCGAUGCCAACACCAUUAGGUCUAGAAACAAUGCAAGCAAUGGAAAUCCUGAUAUCAAUGUUUCAUUAGCAGCGGCUGAUAUACGUAAUAAGGCCAAUUACGUCACACUAUCACCGAUCGUCACUUCAAGUACUGCUUUCGUAACUGUAGGAGUAUUUAGUACAGCGAGCAAUUCGGUAUAUUAUGGAGGUGUGCAGAAGAACAGUACCGCACAUUAUUCGGGGACAUCCAUCGUCAAUCGUAAUGUGAUUGAAGUAACGGAAGAUAAUCGUAAUGGUCCAUACUUUGACAAAGCUGCAUCGAAAAAUAUAACAGCACUCCUCGGAAAAACGGCAUAUUUAAAUUGUCGUGUGAAAAAUCUAGGAAAUAAAACGAUGCUCUUGCAAGUUUCUUGGGUGCGGCAUCGAGACAUCCAUCUGUUAACUGUUGGACGGUAUACAUAUACAUCGGAUCAGCGCUUUCGUGCUAUUCAUCAGCCACAAACCGAAGACUGGAUUUUGCAAAUUAAGUAUCCUCAACAUCGAGAUUCUGGUAUAUAUGAGUGCCAAGUUUCAACCACGCCACAUAUGAGCCAUUAUAUUCACUUGAAUGUUGUCGAACCUUCUACGGAAAUUAUUGGCGCGCCGGAUCUUUAUAUAGAGAGCGGUUCAACGAUAAAUUUAACUUGUGUAAUAUUAAAUUCUCCCGAACCUCCUGCGUACAUAUUUUGGAAUCAUAAUAACGCUAUUAUCAACUACGACUCUCCUCGUGGUGGUGUCUCGGUAGUAACAAAUAAAGGAGAAACUACAACUUCUUUUCUUCUUAUAAAAUCUGCUCGGCCUUCAGAUUCCGGACACUAUCAGUGCAACCCAUCAAAUGCAAAACCUAAAAGUGUAACGGUUCAUGUACUGAAUGGUGUUUCUCAUUCCGUUUCCAGGGGAGUUCCCAGCAGCAAUGCAGCGCGCGGGACCAGUAUAUCUUCGAAUGUCCCAAAGUCGAUAUCUCCUAGUGUACCUGUCAAUGUACUUAUGCACCUUAGCAUAUGUAAAGUGGUAUAUGCAAACAUUGGCAGCAGUUGGGAUCAAGAUAGCAGGAAUUUGAAGCAUCUUGUUGCGUGGGUUUUAAACGUACUCGUGUUGCUGGCAACCGAUAUGCUUGGAAAGCAAGUUAAACGAAGAAAGUCUGGAAUGAUUAAUACCUGCGGCUGCAACUUCAAUGAUAUACAACUUAAACAAAAUUUACACCUCCAAAAGUCGAAAUCAGAUAACAAUAGCCAUAACGGAGAGGUCAACUUACGAAAUUUAUUUUAUAAUACUACUAUUUUUAAGUCGAUGAAACACUUUAACGAUGUACAUACUUGUAUACUGUUUAACAGACCUAUAUUUGAACCAGACAUCAGGUGAGUGCGUUUCGAUUUAAUGCCUUUUACUGGUCCUAGCCAUGUUACCGAGAAAGAGGGCAAAGUAAGCUCAAACAAUCCGAACUAAACUUGACUAAAGUGAGUUUUAUAAUGAUAAUAAUAUCCAUCGCAUUUUUUUUGUAUUAUGUGUAUUGUAUAUUUUGGGUAUUUACUUCCCUUGGGUUUCCAACUAAAAGCGAAACCGGACUUUUUUGUAAUCGAAUAAAAGUAUUAGGUAAAUUUGGGUAUUUGUAAAGUUACUUAUAAGACAUAUUGUAAAUAAAAAUAAUAUAAUACACUAAAUAAUAAUGAACCAAAAAUUGAAAAAAAGAACAAAAAAAAAAGCGAAAAGAUAUUGUUUCAAGAUAGAUUAUGAAAGAAUAAAAUUCUAAAUUGCUAAAAACUAUGAACUAAUAAAGUUAGAGAAAAUUAUUAACUAAAAAAUAACGAUAAUUAUUGUAUGCUAAGUAAGCAUAUACAACUAUCCUUAAGAGAGAACUUAAAUUUGCUUGGUACACCAAAUAUAUAUUUGCGAAAAUAACACAUUAAUUUGUUUUAAUAGUUUUUUUGUUUUUUGUUUUUUAAUUUUUACAUAUUAUUACCAAUUAAUAAAUUCAUUUGUCCGAUUUUAUAAUCAGUAGAUGCUUAUUUUUUCUAUUAUACACUUCAUAACUCUCUGGAAUAGGUAAAAUUACACAUAUGCUCUCUAUUUGUUUAAGCAUGUUAAAUAAUUAUAUAAUAGCUUAGAAGUGCAUGAGAUGUAACAUAAUUUACCAAGACGGUAAAUUAAAUUGUUAGACGGAAUAAAACCGGUUGCUUCACCGAUACGGCAACAGAUCAUAGAAUGUAGUACGUAUUGUCAUUCCAAAUGUACCUAACUCGCAACGCAAUUAUCAAUUUGUACAGUAGUUUUAUUUUCUUAAAUUAUAAAUUUGACAUUAUUCAUCAUUAAUUGUAAUUUUACUGGUAUAGCAUACAUAUAAUAGUUAAAUCCAAUAUGGUUUAUUUUCAUUCUUCAGAAAACUUCGCGCGACAAGUUAAUUUAAAAAAUACUAUCAAGAUAUUUUAUUUGUAAUUUUUUCAGGAUGAAGCCCACUUUAAACAAUUGUUUCAACAAUGACCAGUUUCUUAUACAGAUAAAUUUUUUUCAUUGGCUUAACAUUAUUUCCUAGCUUGGCUUAAUAUCAUAAGUACAUAUGUAUGUGUUCCAAAUUUGAGAUAUAGAAAGCACCUAUUUUCCAUGCAGUUAGCGGCAAUAAAGAAUAUGAUGCGAUGCUUUUCCCCGACAAAAAAUUACACGAGCGUCCUUUUGUCAUUGGAAAACCGUUUUAUAAUUAAGUUAUAUUCAUCUGAUGUUUUA
rnacentral:misc_RNA from 1 species